rnacentral:rRNA from 1 species
UACAGAGGGGGCAAGCGUUAUUCGGAAUCACUGGGCGUAAAGGGUGCGUAGGCGGGUCUUUAAGUCAGGGGUGAAAUCCUGGAGCUCAACUCCAGAACUGCCUUCGAUACUGGAAAGCUCGAGUCCGGGAGAGGUGAGUGGAACUGCCCAGUGUAGAGGUGAAAUUCGUAGAUAUUGGGAAGAACACCGAUGGCGAAGGCAGCCAUCUGGACCGACACUGACGCUGAGGCGCGAAAGCGUGGGGAGCAAACAGG